ACAUUUGAGAAUAAAUAUUUUCCCUCAUUGUUGAACAUAAGAGUAGAGGCCUGGCACUCGCCUCUCAUCAACCAGCCUGUGUACCGGUAGCAACUGUCCUCUUCAUUCUGCAAAGGAAGGUGUGCAAUACUUCUCUCUUUUUUAAUGUCAACACAAGUGGCCACCACCACUACCGGAGUGAGAGACAGAGAGGAGAAGAUGCAGUCGCCAGCAGAGGAGGAAGAAGUUGCUGAUUGAGAGUGGUUUACCAUUGGUGUCCAAAUAUCCUAGUUCUCUAUGAUGUUGCAGUAGAGUCUUCAACUGCAGAGGCUGAGAUAGAGAGUUGACACACUCUUCCAAGACAGAGGGUCCAGCAUUGAGCCAAGACACUGUCUACGAGAUGGGGAGCACACAUUAAUAUAAUUUGCAAUCAAUCAAAAUCGGUCCAGUUGUUCUUAAAUAAAAUAUUCUAAAUGCCCAUUAUCUUAAAUAAAAUGCUCCAAGAUGUCUCAUGUCUAAUACAUAAACUGAGUAACCAAUGCAAUGUUUUGUGAAGAGUGCUGCAGUGCUCCACAUGAGAUGUGUCAGCAUGUUAA